rnacentral:rRNA from 1 species
GCUUCGGUCUACCCCUCCCACCCCAUGUUUACUGUAAUCGUUGCUCAUGCAGAUAGCCUAACAGCGUCUGCAUGAGAGCAUUAACCCUUUAAAUUUGAGAAUUAUCUGAGUAAAAAGAAACAAAACAAAACUUUCAACAACGGAUCUCUUGGUUCCAGCAUCGAUGAAGAACGCAGCGAAAUGCGAUAGCUAGUGUGAAUUGCAGAUUUAUGUGAAUCAUCGAGUCUUUGAACGCACAUUGCGCCCCUUGGCUUGCCAGGGGGCAUGUCUAUCUGAGCGUCGUUACAACUCUCAAGUUUUACUUGGUAUUGGUGGUUGUCCUACUCGCUAGGGCACUGCUUAAAUCGAACCCGACGUGCCUGUCUAGGAACGCAGCAGAUUUUGCAAUCCUUUAGGCACAGAUGGGCCACUUCGAGUGGAGCCUUCUAUAGUUGACCUCAGAUUAGAUAGGGAUACCCGCUGAACUUAA